rnacentral:rRNA from 1 species
ACCNCUUAAAUAUUAAAUAUUUAUGGUGGUGUCACAAAAUCGGAGGCCCCGACUGUUUACUAAAAACACAAUUCAGAGCAAUGAUGUAAAUCAUAGUAUUCUGGAUGAAAUUUGCCCGAUGCCAUUAACAUAAAAGAGGUAAUGGGAAACUGUUACUAAUUGAAAGUCUGGUUAAUAGCGGUCUUAACUAUGAGGAUCCUAAGGUAGCAAAAUCAGUUGGCCAUUAAAUGUGGUCUGGUAUCAAUAGUGUAACGAUGGUCUCACUGUCUCUACAACUUGCUCAGUGAAAUUGAAUUAUCCGUGCAGAUGCGGAUUGCCUCCANGUGGACGGGAAGAC